rnacentral:rRNA from 1 species
UACCAGCUCUCCGAGUGGUAGGGAUGAUUAUUGGGCUUAAAGCGUCCGUAGCCGGCUUAGCAAGUUUCCUGUUAAAUUCAGCGACCUAAUCGUUGAGCCGCGGGAAAUACUACUAGGCUAGGAGGCGGGAGAGGUCGACGGUACUUCUGGGGUAGGGGUGAAAUCCUAUAAUCCCGGGAGGACCACCAGUGGCGAAGGCUGUCGACUAGAACGCGCUCGACGGUGAGGGACGAAAGCUGGGGGAGCGAACCGGAUUAGAUACCCGGGUAGUCCCAGCUGUAAACGAUGCGGGCUAGGUGUUGGGGUGGCUACGUGCCACUUCAGUGCCGCAGGGAAGCCAUUAAGCCCGCCGCCUGGGGAGUACGGCCGCAAGGCUGAAACUUAAAGGAAUUGGCGGGGGAGCACCACAAGGCGUGAAGCUUGUGGUUC